AACGUAGGUGGCUAGCGUUGCCCGGAAUCACUGGGCGUAAAGCGCACGUAGGCGGACUCUUAAGUCGGUGGUGAAAUCCUGGAGCUCAACUCCAGAACUGCCUUCGAUACUGAGAGUCUUGAGUCCGGGAGAGGUGAGUGGAACUGCGAGUGUAGAGGUGAAAUUCGUAGAUAUUCGCAAGAACACCAGUGGCGAAGGCGGCUCACUGGCCCGGUACUGACGCUGAGGAGCGAAAGCCAGGGGAGCAAACGGG
rnacentral:rRNA from 1 species